rnacentral:lncRNA from 1 species
CUGGUUAUGAGGGUAAUAUAUAGCAAUAGUCAUCAAAGGUACCAGGAUUAUAAUUUAGUACGCCAGACGCGCGUUUUGUCUAUAUAAGACUCAUCAGUGACGCUCAUAUCAAAAUAUUUAUAAAGCAAAACAAGUACAAAGUUGAAGAGCAUUGAUGAUCCAAAUUUCCAAAAAGGUAUACCAAAUACGACUAAGGUAAUUUAUGCCUGGGAUACAAAAAUCCUUAUUUUUU